AACGAACGCUGGCGGCAUGCCUAACACAUGCAAGUCGAACGAGACCUUCGGGUCUAGUGGCGCACGGGUGCGUCACGCGUGGGAACCUGCCCUUAGGUUCGGAACAACUCCCCGAAAGGGGUGCUAAUACCGGAUAAUGUCUUCGGACCAAAGAUUUAUCGCCUUUGGAUGGGCCCGCGUUGGAUUAGCUAGUUGGUAGGGUAAAAGCCUACCAAGGCGACGAUCCAUAGCUGGUCUGAGAGGAUGAUCAGCCACACUGGGACUGAGACACGGCCCAGACUCCUACGGGAGGCAGCAGUGGGGAAUAUUGGACAAUGGGCGAAAGCCUGAUCCAGCAAUGCCGCGUGAGUGAUGAAGGCCUUAGGGUUGUAAAGCGCUUUUACCCGGGAUGAUAAUGACAGUACCGGGAGAAUAAGCUCCGGCUAACUCCGUG
rnacentral:rRNA from 1 species